rnacentral:misc_RNA from 1 species
GAUGAAGAACGCAGCGAAAUGCGAUAGGUAAUGUGAAUUGCAGAAUUCAGUGAAUCAUCGAAUCUUUGAACGCACAUUGCGCCUGCCAGCACUCUGGUAGGCAUGCCUGUUCGAGCGUCAUUUCAACCAUCAAGCCCUAGGCUUGCGUUGGAGCCCUGCGGCUGCCGCAGGCCCCUAAAAGCAGUGGCGGGCUCGCUAUCACACCGAGUGCAGUAGAUUACUCUUCGCUCAGGGCGUGUGGCGGGUUCCAGCCGUGAAACCCCCUACUUCUCAAGGUUGACCUCGGAUCAGGUAGGAAUACCCGCUGAACUUAAGCAUAUCAAUAAGCGGAGGA